rnacentral:rRNA from 1 species
CCCCGUAACUUCGGGAGAAGGGGUGCUGGCCGUUAGGCCAGCCGCAGUGAAUAGGCCCAAGCGACUGUUUAUCAAAAACAUAGGUCUCUGCCAAAUCGAAAGAUGACGUAUAGAGGCUGACGCCUGCCCGGUGCUGGAAGGUUAAGAGGAAGGGUUAGCGUAUGCGAAGCUCUGAAUUGAAGCCCCAGUAAACGGCGGCCGUAACUAUAACGGUCCUAAGGUAGCGAAAUUCCUUGUCAGGUAAGUUCUGACCCGCACGAAAGGCGCAACGAUUUGGGCACUGUCUCAACGAGAGACUCGGUGAAAUUGUAGUACCAGUGAAGAUGCUGGUUACCCGCGACAGGACGGAAAGACCCCAUGGAGCUUCACUGCAGGUUGAUAUUGAGUGUUUGUGUGACAUGUACAGGAUAGGUAGGAGCCAUUGAAACCGGGACGCUAGUCUCGGUGGAGGCACAAGUGGGAUACUACCCUUGUGACAUGACCACUCUAACCCGCGAC